CCCCACACACACACACACACGCACACACACACACAAACAAAGAGGCGUUAGGCUGAGACGCUGAAAGUCCGGAUUUAAAGUGCAGAAAAUGAAGCCAUUGAAUCUGCCUGUCCAUGACGUACAAAGACACACUAUGAGCCAGUAUGAUCCGACCAGACCUUACAUCAGCAUUGAGGAGUUGUCGGAGAAGAAAGAGGCUGAUUGAAGCGGGACAGAUGACAUGGAUCCAUCCUUCCACAGCCAGGAGUGCACCGACCUGUGUCCCACACUUCAUAUAAGACUGGAAGCUACACUGAUCUCACAGCUACACACCACAGACGUCUACACACUGGAGAAGAGUCCCACAAAGAAGUCAUGACCCAGAGGCUGCAGAGAAA